UGAAAUGGUUCACAGAUCAAGAUCUGGUCAGAUCUGACUUUGUCGAAUUAAACAAGGAGCUUGGAAACGUAUUUUUGAAUGAAACCAAUUGGGGGAUGUUUGGUUUAUACCAUGGUGAUAACCGAGAGAGGCAAUUGCUAAGUUGUGAUGCACUCAUAUCUCUACUAGAUGCGAACAAUUCCGGAGAAGAAGAAGAAGUGGAAUCGGACAAGGAUUUUAUUUAUGAUUGUUGGGAUUCUUAUAUUGAUGGAGUUGAAGAAGUCCGUGGACAAAUAAGCCAAGACAAGCCAUCUUUGAUCUCUGAUUUGGUGUCUAGUUGGGUGUCAUUUGUUGAUUCCCAAAGCACCUUGAUUCUAUGUGUGUUGUUCUCUGAUACGGGGUGGCCUUCGGACACCACCGCCUCAAGACCGACAAGCCCUCCUCGUGGUCCAAUGACACGAGCUCGAGCCCAAGCCCUACGCCAAGAGGUGAAUUCGCUCCUCUCCACGUACUCCUUUGACACCCCUUUGGAUGGCUUGCUACUUCAUGCCAAUACCCUAUGUUCAAUCAGGUACAUCGACCAAGAAGCGAGCCAUGAAGACCAAGCCAAUGGAGAGAGAGCU